rnacentral:lncRNA from 1 species
AUUUGGAUGCAUUGGCAGCGAACACGAGGUAACACAACAAUAUGAUCAUCGCCGGAUAAUCGUACGAAUCCGGAUUCCCGGAAGUGUCUAUUUCGACACCGGAACCCUCUGUCGCUCACCUAUCAUCAUCGAACCCACAAAAUGAUGAUGGUGACCAGCCAACAAGGCUCAGCGACAAAACACGAAGCAACCAAACACCGUCGGAAAGAAUCCGAACCGAAACCGCGUUCUUUCGGCGAAUUUCGCCGAAAAACGCACCGAAAUCGACCUACCGAUUUCCGCGAAAGCUAACGGACCAUGGACAAUCAGUCCAGCGGUCAAUACAAACUCCCACACACUGCCCACAGUAGCCGCAAGGAGCACAAAUGCAUAAAAGACCCUCAAUUUACAUAAAAUCCUAUUAUUUCAUGUAAAUUGAGCGAUCAAGUGGCUCAUUCACAAAAACCGAGGACUCCCGAAGUCCGCAGAGACACGUACUGACAGAUCUCGACGUACCGGAGUCCGUGCUCAUGAUCCGGAGCACAGCGGCUCGCUGUGGGAAGCGCGGGAGCAACCCGAAGGUUCAGCGAAUAGCGCGCAGUCAGGGAAGAUCACGCCGAACAGAACUAACCGGACACUUCUGAUCCAAAGUGAGGUGAGCACUGUGAUCAGCACUGACCAACGAUCACCGUGCUCACCUCCGGAGGCAUCAGGACAGCCUCGGAUCGCCGGAUAAGCGUGCGCAAACCCAAAACAGCAGCCAAGAAGGCUGAAACGGAGCGACAUCGCCAAAACAGCGGAACGGGGCCUUCCCGACAGAAACCAAGGUGAGCACGAUGAUCAGCAAUUCGCUACGAUCAUCGUGCUCCCUUCCGCAGAGAUCGGGGAGGCUCGGAAAGCCCAGAACAACAAACAGCCCUAAACUGAGCCCUAUUUCGGGCUUGGCCGGAGCAACCUUGCUCCGGCCGGCCUCCGGCGACACGGCGGCGCGAGCGGGGGCCAGGGUCGAGUGCGGGGGUGGUGAGUAACACAGUGCUCACCUCGGUUGGCGGCGGGGAGCUGCGACGGCGUCGGCGGAGCAAGUUGAGCCCGCACGAGAUCGGGCUCGGGUUCCAGGAGUUGCUGCGGCCACGGCGGCGGCCGGGGAGCUCCGGGAAGGCAGAGGCGGGCUGCAGGAGGUCGGGGGAGGGCGGCACAGGUGGCUCAGGGAGGCGGCGACGCGAGGAAAGGGGCCGCACACAGCUUCGGCUCGGGCUCGGGUUGGGCGGCUGUAGCCGGCCGAGGCGGCGGCGGCGGCGGCGCGCUGGGNAGUCUACCGGACCUAAGAAGAUCCACCAAGUCAGUAUCCAAACCACUAACCCAAAGCACGAGACUCACAAACCCCCACACAGGAUCCCCGUAAUCGAUUUCCCAAAACCGAUUACCGUAACUCACCGGAAGUCCCGAAAACCACACCGGGACGCCGUCGGGAUCCACUAAGUGUCCCGAACUCACCGACUCGUGUCACGAGUCACCCGCUGCCCCAAAGCACUCCAAUUUGGAUGCCUUGGCAGCGAACACAAGGUCACACAACAAUACGAUCAUCGCCGGAUAAUCGUACGGAUCCGGGUUCCCGGAAGUGUCUAUUUCGGCACCGGAACCCUCCGUCGCUCACCUAUCGUCAUCGAACCCACAAAAUGACGAUGGUGACCAGCCAACAAGGCUCAGCGACAAAACACGAAGCGACCAAACACCGUUGGAAAGGAUCCGAACCGAAACCGCGUUCUUUCGGCGAAUUUCGCCGAAAAACGCACCGAAAUCGACCUACCGAUUUCCGCA